GCCUGGGUGGCUCAGUCGGUUGAGUGUCCGACUUCAGCUCAGGUCACGAUCUCGCGGUCCGUGGGUUCGAGCCCCGCAUCGGGCU
rnacentral:tRNA from 1 species